UACGUGAGGCAGCGAGCGUUUGUUCGGAAUUACUGGGCGUAAAGAGUGUGUAGGCGGUGCUCUAAGUUCGGUGUGAAAUCUCCCGCUUAACUGGGAGGGUGCGCCGGAAACUGGAGUGCUCGAGCGUGGGAGAGGAAAGCGGAAUUCCUGGUGUAGCGGUGAAAUGCGUAGAUAUCAGGAGGAACACCUGCGGUGUAGACGGCUUUCUGGACCUUGGCUGACGCUGGAGACACGAAAGCGUGGGUAGCAAACAGG
rnacentral:rRNA from 1 species